rnacentral:lncRNA from 1 species
GGACAAUAGUAUUCUAACAGUGUUUAGUUUAGCAACUAGUGAAAACGUCUCUUGGUAGUCUAUCCCAUAUGUCUGUGUAUACCCCUUCGGACUAGCCUUGCUUUGUACCGCUCAAUGGAUCCAUGUGCCUUGUGUUUGAUGGAAAAUACCCAUCUGCAUCUUACUGUCUUCUUUCCUUCAGGUAAUCGAACUAGUAUCCACGUGUUAUUCUUUACUAGUGCCUCCAUCUCAUCUUUUAUUGCCUGAAUCCAUUUGGAAUCUGACAAGGCAUCCUGAAUUCCUGUUGGAACAUGAUUAGAAGAGAGAACAUGUACAAAAGCUUUCAGUGGAUCAGAUAACUUCGUGGUGGAUACAUAGUUGGCAACUGGAUAUCUUAAUCUUCAUUUUUCAAUGUCUGGAGAGUAUCUGCUUAGCGAUUUGCCUCGAUUAUGCCUGAAAGGUAAAUUAUAGCCACCAGGAGUAUCUAAAUUGCUUAUAUGUGAAGGAGUGCUUACCUCAGAGAUAUUCUCCGGAGAUGGGCCUGUAGAUACUGAAGAGAAAGGGGGCUCUGGUUCGGUGCAGUUUGGUUCAGCUUCUACAGUUGGUUCCGGAUCUUGAGUCAUAUCAUUCCUUAAGUCAAUAUCUAUCGGAGCUGUCUCUAUCUCAGUAUUAUUUGACCACUCAAACUUCGACCAAUUCAACUCUUCAUCCCUUGUCUCUCCCUGAAGAGGAGAAUUGGAUGUUGGAGAAACAAAUGUGUCAGACUUCGAGAAGGUAACAUCCAUAGUUACAUAGGUCCGUUUGGAGGAUGGAUCAUAGCACCGAUAGCCCUUUUGAUGUGUAGCAUAUCCCACAAAAAGACAUAGGAGAGCACAUGGGUCAAGUUUUGUAACAAACCAAUGAACCCCAAACCUUGAAUCGUGGAACGUGAUAGAGCUGCUUUAAUAACCGCUUUGAUAACUGCACUUCUUGAUAACCACGACGCGUUAUGUUUGUUAAUACCUUGGGCGACUUGAAGGUUUGGGCGAGAAUAGAGUAACAGCUCUGGGCGACUGUAUGACACUCCAUUCGCUCAGAUUCUGGGCGACUUGCAAACUUGGGCGAUGGCGUUACCGCGUUCUUGGCCCUCCUUAUUUGGGCCUUCAUCUUGAUUUGUUCGAUUGGGCUUCGUUCUUUGGGCUAUCUGAUUUGGGGAUUCUCCAAUUGGGCUUCACUCCUUGGACUGUUCGAUUUGGGCUGAAUUUUUAUGUGUCAACAAUUACCCCCCAAUAUCGCAGAAUUAAUAAUAAUUAUUAAAUUUUGCCAUAUUCACUUUGUGUUUCCAGCAACAUUCGAAAUUCCCAAGAAUUUCAAUCAUUGUUUCUUUCUAUAACUUGAAAAGGUGCGUCGUUUUGCAAACCCUUAUAAACCCCAAACACGCCAUUUCACUGCCACCAAACCACGCCUCAUAUUUUUUACGUCUUCUUCACGAUUCACUGUUCAUCUUUUGCUUCCCUGCUACGUAAUCCUAAAAAGCUUCGUUCCUUCUCAAAUGGCUGCUUCACAAUCUCAAGCUAGCGAUUCCUUUAGUUUUGAUGACUUUCAGAGACUUCUGAGUCGCCCAUACAUAACCCCAAGUUUUCUCACGCCCGCCGACGUUGGACGUAAUGAGUUUUACUUGGGUCCUUUCUUCAACAAUGCGGAGGUAGUUGAACAGGCGGCGGUGGGUCAGCUGCUUCCUUGCACUCAUGGCCCUCCUUUUCUAAACUCUCUGCCACUGGGGCCACUUCGCGAAAGAGGUAUUCGCACUUGGCCUAAAUCUGAUGUUGCUUUUCGUAGGUGGCAUGCUCGCCUUCUGGGUCAUGGUCCUACCAAGGUACUUUUUGAUAGCGCUAGGAUUUCUGAUUUGUUGGAAAUCUCUAUCCUCCCCCGUACUUUUGAUUCAGCACUCUUUUCAAUUGCUUUGAGUUUUUGGUCUUCUGAGUAUAACACCUUUAUUUUCCCUCUUGGCCCCAUGUCUAUUACCUUAAGGGAUGUUGGGGCCCUGGUGAAUCUGCCACCUUUGGGCGAUACCAUUUUUCCUGGUAUCUUAGUCUUUGGUGGCGCCCCAAAGUUUGGUAGAAACUACACUGAUUCUUAUUCAAGCCUGCAGACCUUCCACAAUCAUUCGAGCGCUGAGCCUACCCAUACUAAACGAGUGGCCUUCCUUUUAGUUUGGCUUUGUAAAUAUAUUUUGUGCGUGCCAAGUAUAAAGCCCUCUCUGAGUUAUUUACCUAUAGCGCACGAAUCGGCGCGUGGCAGGCCUUUGAAUUUAUGUUCUUUGUUUUUGGCUGCCCUUUAUAGAGGCAUGGCCUCUCUUCAAGCUGAAUUGAAGAAUGGUGCAUCUCCACUGGCAAUGGACCUCUUUGGUUCACUCAAUUGUGGUUGAGAUCCUAUUUUCCAUCGCUUGGUGCUCCAUCCAUUUCUCGCCCUUUUGCUAGCUGUUAUGGGCUAGCCAUGGAGCCCUUAACUCUUGUAAAUAUGUCCAGAAGGGACAUUUUUUCAUUCUUUUAUUCUUUGGAUUCAAUCCCUUCCUUUUUUCCUUUUCCUCCUUUUUUGACUCCAAACUAUGUACAUCCCCCUUCCACUAUAGAUAACGCGAGCACCUCCCUACUCAUUUGGAUCCAAUUUUUAACCGAGAGGGAGCUAUUUCAUGAUAUUCUAAUUGGGACCAAUGCCAAAGCGGGGGUAGAGAUUUAUGCUCCCCAAAUUUUUGCUCGUCAGCUUGGUUUUGGCCAAACUUGGCCUGUUCCUCCUUGCUAUUCAAGGAACUUAGUUGACCGUUUUCAUACCAUUACUAAGGCGAGGGUAGAGGCUAUAGAUGCUCGUAAUCUUCUUUUAACCAGUCAUUUUUCAUUGGCCCCCUUCAAUUCUAGCCACGCCAUUCACCCUCUUUUUGAACAACUCUGGCCGUCGGUGAAUCGCAGAUUAUUUGCGACUGAUGCUAAUCGUGCCUUUCAUUCAUUAGACCAACCGAGCAUUUCUUUUCCUCCUCCUGUUUUAGUCACUCAUUUGUCUGUUCGGAGCCCCUCUCCUUCUCGUCGCACUAAACAGUCCGCUCGUCCAUCUUCUUCUCUCCCUGCCAAGCCUACUACGGCCAAGAGUGCUCCAAGCCGUAAACGGCCAGCCUCAGCAUCACCCAUUCUGGAGGAUGAUGUUGAUGAUGAUGCCCCUUUUAUCGUCAGGAGGAAGGUAAUUAAAUUGGUUUACUUACAAGUAUAUUUUUCCACAUUUGAAACUUUUCUGUGUGCUGAUGAUCUUUUGGACUUUUCAGAAAAGCUCAGCCUCUCCUUCAAAGGCUUUGGCAUCGACAACUUCUGCUCCAUCAUCCUCUGCUGAGGCUACUUCAUCCAAAUCGGUUGAUGAGGGGACUACGCUUAAAGAGACAUCUUCAGUCCCAGAGUCCUCAUCACAACCCAUGAAUGAGCCACCUUCUUCCCAGGGCGUCAACCCCCCAAACAUCGAAGCAGAAGGUAAUUCAGUUUUUUGAUGUCUUACCUUUGCUCGUGCUGUUGGUUUCUGAUUUAUUACUCUUGAGUUUUGUAGAUACUCCUAUAAUUUCGCCCGUUGUGGCAACAUCUUCUCGCUCAGACAAGGGGAAGUCCUCACGAAUGGAGGAGUCAUUGGUGGCAGACUUGGUUGAGGGCAUGCCAUCUUCCACGAUUGUUGAUGAGGUAGUCUUUGCUUCACUUCUAUUUCUAUUUUGAUCGUUAGAGUGAGCAUCUUUAAUACUGGCAAUUUCCUUUGCAGGAUGCUGACAGGAUUGUGCGUUCUAUCCAAGACUUGUUCGCUUCCUGGGGGCAAGUCCAGACGUCUCGCCCUGCUCCAUCUGAUCGUCCUGCUGCUUCUUCAGAGGAAGAUUUGAAGUUCCUCAAGGAGUCGAUAUUUAAGUACGUAUCCUUCAUGGAUAUGGAUAUUGGAAGGACUAGUGCUGCCAGACACAAGGAUGAACUUGAGCACUUGAGUACGAAGUUGGAGCAAGCACUGACGCUUCCGUCGCUCAAUCUUUCUGCCGAUUUUAAAGCGACGUCGAAGGUCAUCCACUCCGAGGUCCUUUCUAUGCUGGCCAAGAAUGCUGAACUAAAGGCCAAGCGUACUCAAUAUCUUCGAGCCGUAGCUGAGAAAGAGUUUUUGCGUAUGGAGAUUAACAAGGCUGAGGACGAGUUGAAAGAAAUAUCCUCCGAAGUCAUGGUUGAAGACUCUUUGAUGGUUAAUUUGGCUGCUCAAAUGAGGGAACUUCAAGCCAAAAUGGACGACUGCAGGGCGAGAAUGGCUGCUAAAAAGCGCAACGCCUCCCAGGGAAUUGAGCGAACUAAGUCCUUGGUCGAGCAGUACAAGAAGUUGGAAGUUGAUGAUGAUGUCGCGGUUGAAUUGAACAUCACUUCCUCUCAGCAGAACGAGAAUUGGGAAAAACUUAGGGAACGAAUACGUUCAGUAUGGGGUAGACUGUAAUUAAGACAUAUGAUGUCUUUUUUCUUUUGUAAUUCGAUUUUUUCCCUUUGUAACUUUGUUCAUCAUUAAUGAACAUUAACUUCUUGUGCAUUUA